rnacentral:lncRNA from 1 species
AUAAAUGCUGCUGAACAUCAUUUAACCUGCACUCACUCCAUCUCUACCACUGCCAGCUCCUAAAUGAUGACUCCUGUGGCAGCAGAGAGUGAUGCCAUGGUGCAACUGGAGAUACACAAAGGCAACACAGCAAAACGAGGACUGCCAUUCCAUUACACCAUUUGGCCUGGCAGUGACCUCAGUUGGCCGAUACCCCAGGAGGCCAUGUCUCAUCACUGGAUCGCUGUGCUGGUAUGAAAGGUCAAAACUGUGCGCUGGCCUCCCACUGCUCCACUCUCUGAGGAAACAAAUCCAAGUGGUGCUUGGGAUGAGGGGGCCAACAGCAAAGUCCUGCCAACAGGCUGAGUGAGUGGGUUUUGGCAUUUGCAGCCAUCUCCUAAAAGUUGGAGCUCCUCUCAAACAGUGAGAAGGAUCCGUAUCUCAGGAAGAUAUGUGGGGAGUAGGGCUGCAGUGUGGGUGUGCCUUCUGCCUAUGGGAGGCAGGGAGGCAGGGAGGGAGGCAGUGCCAUGCCAGAGGCCAGAGGGGAACAGGGGGAGCCAAUUUGGACUCCAUGGUAAAAUUUACACCACUGAGCCCACUUCUAUAUGCAACAGAAAGAGGAAGGUGAGCUUCACUUUACUAGAAAACUGCCUAGUUCAGCCAGUGGUGUACACCACUUGCUGUUUUUGUUGUCAAAGUUUGCUUGCUCAGAAAUUUGGUUAUUACCCAGCUGAACGGAAUUUGGUUAUCACCCAGCUGAACAGAAUCUGGUUCUCCUACUCUUCGGGUAAUGAAGGAAAGUAUUUUUGUCCUAAGAAAAUUCUGAACCAUUAUGAGAACCAUUAUAAUCUUUUGCAAAAUUUGUUUAUGACACAAACAUUAAAUGCAGGUGAGAGAAAUGAGAAUAACCAGCCAAAAUCCACUGCUGUCUGAAUGUGCCAUGUAAAAUCUCUAUAGAAAGAAAAAAAAAAAAAGAAAAAUCAUGUACAUAUCACAGGUGCAUAUCACAAGCAUAUAUGUAUAAUUGAUGCAGUGUAGUAACAUUCAGCACUCUUCUCUUCUAGCCCCACAUGGGCCAAAAAUGCACAGCACAGAUUUGGCUGAGCAGAGAUGACGGUGAGGGGGUAUCAGCACUCAAAGUAUAAAGAGGGACAGGCCCUGUGCCAUUAGAGUACCUAAUCCUUGGAAGCCCCACAGCUCAUGCUGUGGAGCAGAGAAGUUCCUGGGAGCAACUGAUAAAGGGAGGGGGACUGAACACUAGAAGAUGCUGGCCAGAAAAGCUGCAGAGUUUCUAUCCUUGGGGAUUCUCAAAUCCAGACCUAAUUCUAGGCAAUCUUCUAUAGGUGACCGUGCAAUUUGUAUUCAGUGCCUGAUAUUAAGGACAGUUUGUAGAGGUGGUGGAAACAGGCCUUGCAAAGCUUACAAAAGACUUCACCUGUUCACGCUGUGAAGGGUAAGAAGGUGAAGGAAGGCUGGCCCAAGAUAACCACUGGCUCUGCAGAGAUGCCAGGAAGCCAUGCAGUGUGCUGCUCCCUUAUGCAUGGCCCUGCAUUGAUUUCUGCAAAUGUGAAAACCAAGAAAGAAGCUGCAUGGAUAGAGACAGCAGAACCACUAAGGAUACUACCAAAGAGGAAGAAUCAAGAGUCUAACUGAUGGGUUAAAGCAGUGCCUGGAAAUCAGGACUGCUUGGAUCAAUGCCUAACCACAGCUGACAACAGGCAAGUCUCUUCACUGCUGUGCUUCUGCCUCCCCAUCUGGAAACCGAGGAGAGUAAACAAAUUCAGUGCCCUAUCCUCAGGGAAGUGGAGACCUUCAGCUACAAGCCAUCUCUCCCAGAUUACACUUCUGAAGAUGUAAAGAAGAAAACAAGGUUCAGAAGACAGCACCUCGCCAAAAUAAAGAUAUUUUAGGAAGGUAUUUCUGACUCCAUACGGAUUAUGUGUAAACUUAAGUUACUGAGACAAAAUGGGGACUGUUUGGUUAAAGCUCAAAUCCUGCCUGGCCUUUACUAGGCUAUGUUUCAAGCAUCCUGUUUUGCCUAAUCUCUACAUCUCACUCUAUCACCUUAAUCCAACUUCUCCAGGAGUACUCUCCACAGUCCUACCCAACAGCUGGACUUGGGACUAAAAACAUCAGUCCUGGAGAACUGUGCCGCAUGGUUUCAAGUAUCUGAGGCUGAGUAGGGGUCAGAAAAUUGAGUUCAAACCAAACCCUUCUCUUGAACCUUUGACUGACCUUUGAAGGAGCCCCACAGGCUGGGUUUGGGCUGUAGGUUCCAAAAAUCUUAUUCCAGAGUCUCAUCUUGUUCUUGUGACUGAAUUAUCAUGGCCCUAUGAUAGCCAAAUUGACAGCAGUUCCACGUCAACUGUGUCAACACAGAAAUCCCAAAUUCAAAAGUACAUGGGUGGGACAGGGUGG